AAAAUGAAAUAUUUUUGUAUAUACAUCUUUGUAUUUUUAAUUUUGUUAAAGCAUAAGUACUGCAACAAAAUAAAUCGACAAAAUUUGUUUUUAUUUUUGAAAACAACCCCUUCUUACAUUUUUACAAAUAAAAAAUAUAUACAAACGAAAUAUCACAACAUAAAAAAACGUAAAUACAACUAUAACAAAUUAAACAACACAAGACCAGUACAGGUGGGAGAAUUAAAAAUAGGGAAAAUUUAUGACAUUAAAAAUAAUGACAUAUAUGUAAAAUUAAAAAAUAAUAAUAAAAAUACAAUUAUUAUAAAAAAAGAAAAUAAUUAUUUAUUGGAAAAUGAAUUAUUAUAUGAUUACCUUUUUAACUUAAGCUUAAUAGAUAAUGUGUUAUAUAACAAAUUGAUGAAAAAUAGAAAGCUGCUUCCUACUACUAAUAAACAACAAAAUGUACAGAAUGAAAAACAGCAGGCUGUACCUGGUGAAGCCCAUUCAGAUGCACCUGGUGAAACCCAUUCAAAUGCACCUGGUGAAGCCCAUUCAAAUGCACCUGAUGGAGUAAAGGACUGCAUUGUGCUUAUCAAAGAAAUAAACGAAAAAGACGAAAUUGUUGGUGAAUUAUAUUUAAAUGAAAUAAUAAAAAGAAAAGAAAAGAUUUAUGACAAGUUAGAAGAAUUAAAAGCUUUGGAAAAGCGAAUACCUAUUAAAAUUUUAAAAAAUGUAAGAAAUAAAUGUUUUAUUGUAUUAAUUAAUGACUGUAUAAAAGGCUAUUUAUUAUAUGAUAAUAAAGAUGAUGAUAACAGGCAAUUAAAUGAUAUGUUACUUUUAGAUAAUUUAAAAAAGAAAAAGUUCACAGAGAAAUUAAGUGCAUAUAUAAUUGAUGUGAAUAAAAAACUAGAAUAUGUUUUUCUAUCAUUAAAAAAAUAUCCAAAUAAUACGUUAAACGAAAUGCUGUCAGCCUUACAACAUACUAUAAUUGUGGAAAAUUUAUUUGAUAAUUAUUUUUUUAAAGCAGAGAUAAGUGAUUAUUGUAAUGAUGGGAAUAAUAUUAUAGUAAAAAUUUUUGAAAAUAAAAAUAAUACAAUACAUGUAAAAAUCAAAUCGCAUAAUAUAAUUAACACAAAAAAUAUUCUUAGAAACUUUGAUUAUUUAAAAAAUAAAGUCAUAACCCAUGGGUUUGUGACAUCUGGAGGUAGUGGUGGUGGUAGUAGUGACAAACAUGAUAUACGUGAUAUACGUGAUAAACGUCAUAAAUACGACGAAGAAUAUGACACGUUUCAACAAAAAAAAGACAGUAGGAUGCUAAAAAAAGAUUACAUAGAUAAGUUUAAAGAGUAUAAAAAUAAAUUUUAUGGGUGUAAAGAAAUGGAAGCAUUAAAAUAUAUUAAUGUUGAUGGUUAUAUAUAUAACAAAGAAAAAGUAUUAUAUGUUCGAAUCAUUAAUAAAACGCUAGACCCAAAUUUAUAUGAAGGAAGUAUGGUGAAUUCUGAUCGUAUAGAUCAACAUAUAUAUAAUCUUAUAAAAAAAAUAGCUAGUAAACAAAAUGUGGUACAUUCUUAUGAUAGCAAAUUGAGAUACCCUUCUAAAGUGCUUGGCUUUUUUAAUAAUUAUGUUAUAUUGUCUACUAGGGUUUUGAAUAUAAAUAAUAAUAAUAAUAAUAAUAACAAUAAUGGUGAUGAGAAUAUAGGAAAUAUCAGUUUUGGAAAAGACCAAGUUAAACAACAAACAAGUAUAAAACCAAGUGUACAAACUGUAGGCAGUAUUCAAAGCGAACAAACAAAAGAUAUUAUAACACUAAUCGAAAAACGCUAUAUCGAUUAUGAAAAUUUAAAAGAAGGGGAUGUGUUUUUUUGUCGAUUUGACACUGUGAAAAAAAGAAAUAUUCGUAAUAUUUUUAGCUUGUCAAACAAUACUAUUAAUAAGAUAUUUAACACGUACUUUAAUAACGAUAAGGAUUUGGGUAGUUGGGAUCAAGAGGGAUUCAUUCAUAGUGGUGGUAGCAGUAGCGGUAGUGGUAGCAGUGGUAGUGAUAGUAGCCAUGGUCAUGAUAGUAGCCAUGGGUCGGAAAAACAAAUUCAUAAAACCAAAACGUUUAAACAACUAAAAUUUGAAGAAAUAUUUUUUGAUAAACGUGAUAUAUAUAUAAUGAGAGGUGAGUUGCAUGAGGAAACUGAAUACCAUUUAAAUAAAAAUAAUAUAGACAAAAAUUAUAAAAUGUUAAAACAAACGUGUGAUACGUAUUAUUCAGGUAUCAAUAAGGC
rnacentral:lncRNA from 1 species